GAUGAACGCUAGCUACAGGCUUAACACAUGCAAGUCGAGGGGCAGCAUUCUUCUAGCAAUAGAAGAGAUGGCGACCGGCGCACGGGUGAGUAACACGUGUCCAACCUACCGAUAACUCCGGAAUAGCCUUUCGAAAGAAAGAUUAAUACCGGAUAGUAUACGAAUAUCGCAUGAUAUUUUUAUUAAAGAAUUUCGGUUAUCGAUGGGGAUGCGUUCCAUUAGUUUGUUGGCGGGGUAACGGCCCACCAAGAAUACGAUGGAUAGGGGUUCUGAGAGGAAGGUCCCCCACAUUGGAACUGAGACACGGUCCAAACUCCUACGGGAGGCAGCAGUGAGGAAUACUGGUCAAUGGGCGCGAGCCUGAACCAGCCAAGUAGAGUGAAGGAUGAAGGCUCUAUGGGUCGUAAACUUCUUUUAUAUGGGAAUAAAGUUUUCCACGUGUGGAAUUUUGUAUGUACCAUAUGAAUAAGGAUCGGCUAACUCCGUGCCAGCAGCCGCCGUAA
rnacentral:rRNA from 1 species